rnacentral:rRNA from 1 species
UACGAAGGGGGCUAGCGUUGCUCGGAAUCACUGGGCGUAAAGCGCACGUAGGCGGAUCUUUAAGUCAGGGGUGAAAUCCUGGAGCUCAACUCCAGAACUGCCUUGAUACUGGGGAUCUCGAGUCCGGAAGAGGUGAGUGGAACUCCGAGUGUAGAGGUGAAAUUCGUAGAUAUUCGGAAGAACACCAGUGGCGAAGGCGGCUCACUGGUCCGGUACUGACGCUGAGGUGCGAAAGCCAGGGGAGCAAAGCGGGG